UACGUAGGGUGCAAGCGUUGUCCGGAAUUAUUGGGUGUAAAGAGCUCGUAGGCGGUUUGUCGCGUCUGCUGUGAAAACUCGGGGCUUAACCCCGGGCCUGCAGUGGGUACGGGCAGACUAGAGUGCGGUAGGGGAGACUGGAAUUCCUGGUGUAGCGGUGAAAUGCGCAGAUAUCAGGAGGAACACCGGUGGCGAAGGCGGGUCUCUGGGCCGUAACUGACGCUGAGGCGCGAAAGCGUGGGGAGCAAACAGG
rnacentral:rRNA from 1 species